AACGAACGCUGGCGGCAUGCCUAACACAUGCAAGUCGAACGAGACCUUCGGGUCUAGUGGCGCACGGGUGCGUAACGCGUGGGAACCUGCCCUUAGGUUCGGAAUAACUCACCGAAAGGGGUGCUAAUACCGGAUAAUGUCUUCGGACCAAAGAUUUAUCGCCUUUGGAUGGGCCCGCGUUGGAUUAGCUCGUUGGUAGGGUAAAAGCCUACCAAGGCGACGAUCCAUAGCUGGUCUGAGAGGAUGAUCAGCCACACUGGGACUGAGACACGGCCCAGACUCCUACGGGAGGCAGCAGUGGGGAAUAUUGGAGAAUGGACGAAAGCCUGAUCCAGCAAUGCCGCGGGAGUUAUCAAGGCAUUAGGGUUGUAAAGCUCUUUUACCCGGGAUGAUAAUGACAGUACCGGGAGAAUAAGCGCCGGCUAACUCCGUG
rnacentral:rRNA from 1 species